GAGACGGUGCUCCAGAAGGCUUGUCCCCCUAACUUUGUAUUCCACCAUCAGGCCAGAUCAAGGGGGCUGAUGUCAAAGAGAGAAAAGGCGGCGGCGUGGCCAUCCAACACAGGAAUGCGUACAUCGGCCAAGAGAUAGGGGUUCCUUUCGAUACAGCGUUUGAGUAUGUGGCCGUGGUCCUGGAAAACGACCAGUUGGAGGUUCCCGUCCUCCUGGUCAACGUGUAGGCUACUUUCCUCCGGGAUACAACCGGGUACAAUUUCAGUGCGGCAUAAAUGACUUCAGCAAGUUGCUGGACAAUUUGGAGGAGGGGGGGUACGACCACGUCAUCUUCACAGGUGAUUUCAAUAUCCACAUGGACGAAGGAAUGCAGUCCUUUGCCAUUGAGUUUCAUUUGCUGUUAAAUAAUAGGGGUCUGGAGCUACAUACAAACGAGCCAACACGUUAUCCAGGGAGACACACACUGGACCUUGUCUUCACCCGGAAUGUGGAUAUUGGCAAUGUAUCCUAUGUAUAUAAUCCCGUUGAGGAUCGUGUCUCGGAUCAUGUGAUUAUUUUAUUCCAAGCCAUUCCAAUGUCAAAAGACAAAAAGAGGAAA